UUUACAGCUGAUCACAAGGACCAGAGAGAAUAAGAACAUCAUUUUGAUUAUCAAUAACCAAGAGACAAUAUGAUUUUAGUUGUGAUGAUAACUGUUUUCUUUAUUACGAAUAUAGCAAUUAACAUUCAGCUGAAUACAAAGGUAAGGAAUUUAUUGUUUUCAAAAUACCAAGUUUCUUUAAUCACUUUUGAUUAGUGAUUAUUGAUUGAACCAAUAGACAAUAGGAUUUAAGUUGUGAUGAGAAUUGUUUUCUUUAUUGCGAAUAUAACAAAACAUCCAGGUAAUGUACAGUCAUAGAUUUUGCGGAAAAUGAAUAGAUAUAUACCGACUUUUACAUUUUUAUA